CUUGAUUCAUUCAGCAUUUAAAACCUUGUGUGUGCAGAAUUUUCCUUAUUCCUUUACUGGGAUAUUUUAGUUUAUUUUUUUAAUUGUAUAUAGUGAUGUUCAGCAGAUAAAACAUGUUAGUGAAGUUUGCAAUUUAAUUUGCCACAAUAAACUGGGUGCUGCUGGCACAGUGGUCCCACAUUCACAUGUAUGGUUUGUGGCAUGGAGUGCCAGGGGGAUGGUGGCGAGGGGGCACCUGAUGUAAUCUUCUCGAGGUCACCAAAUGACUCCAGGACCACCACUUUUUCCACUCAUGUGAUUCAAGAGAAGCUUUGCAGCAAGGGUCACACUCAAGUCACUGUGAUCAAUGUGACUGACUACUGAAAUGAAAACUAGAGAGCUGAGAGAUGCCAGUUCACAGUAUUAAUCCAUUGGACCGAAGACCCCUCGAGUGUACAGUGCCAAGCAGACACCCAGUUAAGACAACUGAAUCUUCCCCUUCCAGUCCCCCCACUACAUAUCCUGCAGUUCCUGAAAGGAGGUGUCACUCAUUACAAGAAUACACCACUGGAAGGAGUUCUUUCUCACCAUGACUCUCACAGGCUUUACCUGCCGAGAAAGGUUCCUCACAAUAGGACCCUAAUUAUUGUGCAUUUAGCAACAUAGAGUGUGCAUUUUGUUUGGAGAACUAUUAUAAUUAAAUGGGGUUGGCGCCCCAAUAUUUUCAGCUUGUGGACCUGCAAUUCCUUCCAGCAAACACUAUAUACUGUACAUAUUUUUGUAUUAUAUAUACUGUAUAUAUAAAAA